UAUGUCCAUGCAGGAAGACGAGAUUAUGAUCAGGUGGCACAGAAAUCUGGGAUGGUGAAAAAACCAGGUUGCCCCUGCAGAUUCCGUGUCUGAGGUACAGCAUAUGCCAGGGGUCUUUUAGGCACAUGUGUGGGUUUUUGGUGGGAAAGUCUAUGAGGAUAGGUAGCAUGGGCAAUAAUCUUGAUGCUGAAGCCCUGUGCUGGGAGGGGCUUGACCACAUCAACAUGUGGUGCAUAUGUUCAGUGGGUGAAAAACAUGUGGUGGCCUCAGGUUGGCAGGAGGGUGGAAGGCAUCUGUUCUCAGAACUUCUUCCCUCAGAGUCGUCGGUCCUUUUUACCAUGGGAGGAUGCGUGGAACCACAGGGCAGUGCAUGGUGUAGCAGCCUGUGUGCAGAGCAGAGCCUACCUUCCCCGAGACACCUGGAGUCUCUCUCCAGCAGAGGCCCCCACAUUGUCUUUCUUUUUACAAUGCUUUUGAUCCUAAAUGUAGAAAGUUCCCUGAAAACCCCACUGAUUCUCCCAACACCCCAUAUUGUUGCCCCCAAAAAUUUAAUUCUGACACAACUUAGAGUUCGCAUAGACCCCAGAAAUUCAGGGCUCAGUCCCACAUCACCUGUCUCACUGUAGAGGAGAGUUACACAUCCCUGCAGCCCAUCUACACUUCUGAGCCUACCUCCUAUAAAUCUAAGACUAGCAUAAACCCCUUUUCAAGUUAAAUAAUUUGAUAGAAUUACUAAAAAGAAAAACCUCAACAAAUAACUGUAAUUAUAUUCACUACUUUAUUAUAAAAAUGUAACUCAGAAACAGCCAAAUGGAAGAGAUGUCUAGGGCAAGGAACAGUUGUAGGUGAAAGGUAAAUCCUGGAAAUAGCUAUAUUUAAAGAAAUUCCCUCCAUUCUUUUGCAUUCUCAAAGAACAGCUUAGUGGAAGAGAAACGUGCUUCCCCUGAUGACUUUUGAGGAUGCUCCCCGCUGUUUUUUUAACCUAUCACAAAAAUGGACACAAAUUGCAAAUUCCCAUUUUUAAAAAUGAACAACCAUUCAGUAAUUUAGUCUUCAGUGGUCAAAAUAACAUACUCUUUACAAGAAACUUUGCUUGUUUCUCUCUUCCAACCAGCCCCUGAACUUUGGACUCACCCACAGCUUCAGCAAACCCUACAACCCUUAUUUAUACAUACCCCUCCUAAGAACAGGCUGACUUCAAGGUGAAACAUUCUUAUCUGGGAUCUGAUUUUGCUACCCUCCAUCCUGUGCUUCCUUUCCAACCUUCUUUGUAAACUUGUUUUCUCCUCCCUAUGAAAUAAGGCCCUUUUCCACCUAACUUUUGAGAUCCUCAAAGAUCUAAUCAUUUGUACUUUUUCUUUGUUCCAAUACUUCUUAGGUAACUUCUUAGACCAAGUCUAGAAACAGUUUGAGGACAAUAACAAUUCCAUUCUAAGAAGAAUCUCCCAACAUUUCUUCUAUCUCAACCUCAACUGCAUCUGCCUGUGAACUUCCAGCUUACCAAGGCUCUAUAUCUUCUGGCAGUGACAAAGGCUCUUUCCACUUACCAGUUAGUCAUUCAGUUAGUUUUCAAUUCAAAAAAUACUUCAUGUUUGAAGAAUCCAGCAAAAAUUAUUCAAAUCUAAGGUAUAAAAGAGAGGAAAUUACAGCCAGGCAUGGUGACUCAUGCCUGUAAUCCCUGCAUUUUGGGAGGCCUAGGCGGGCAGAUGACCUGAGAUCAGGAGUUUGAGACCAGCCUGACCAACAUGAAGAAACCCCGUCUCUACUAAAAAUACAAAAUUAGCCAGGUGUGGUGUUGUAUGCCUGUAAUCCCAGCUACUCGGGAGGCCGAGGCAGGAGAAUCGCUUGAACCCAGGAGGUGGAGUUUACAGUGAGCAGAUGUCUUGCCAUUGCACGCCAGCCUGGGCAACAAGAGUGAAACUACAUCUAAAAAAUAACAGAAUAAAAUAAAAUAAAAACAUUUUAAGGGGCUUAUAUCUUAUAAUUCAUCAAGAAAAGCCAAAGUAUCUAUCCCUUUCAGAAAAUAAACAUGUAAUUUAAUUAUGUUCAUAACAAAUCAUUUAGUAAACAAUUAAUCAUAUGUGAACACUUCAGGAGGUGCAAAGUCCCAGCUCCUAAAACUUAACAUUACCCUCAAACACCCAGAUGCCAGCAUACGGAAUAGAGUUAUUCACUUUCACAAGUUCUCUGUUUUUGAAAAAAAGAAUAACUUAUGUGAUAAAUUUAUGUAAUUUGACAAUUAAUCUACCUCAUGUGCUUGCAGAUAUGUAUUCAAUUCCUACCACCGUAGUGGAAGAGAGGCUAUCCCUAUCUUUACAACUGAUAGCAUUUCCAACAGUAAGCUGUGAGAUUCUGCUUGAAAUCACCUCUCAAACAAAUAAAAAACAGACCUGGGAGACACGCUACACUCAUUCUGCUGAAGAAAUAGGGCAAGAAUAUUUUCUAAGACCCCGAACUCCAGAUAUGUGAUGGGGCAAAUCCUGAAGUGUACAUGGCUAUCUCUCACAGCUAAAGCAUCCCUCACCCUAUCCAGCGCUUCUUACCCCUGGCACAAGAGAAUCACCUGCGGGGAGGAAAACUUUCAAAAUCCCUUAAACCCAAGUUGUAACCGCACAACUCAAUCAGAAUCCUUGGAGCUGGAUCUGAAAAAAAUACGGUUGAAAGUUGUGCAGGGUGAUUACAAUGUGUAGGCAAGCCAGAAAACCAUGGCUUUAAUGAGCAGCUUUUGUUAGAAAUGAUUUCUCAAAUGAAUGUAAAAACAUAUGCUGCUGAAUUGUGACCUUCAAUUUUUACCUGCUUUUCCUGCAAAGUAUAUUUUUGCAGACCCAGGCUGGCUUCUCCUUCUGUUCCUGGUUCACCCAGUGCCGGUGUGUGCUCAGUGCAUCCUGUGCACGGGUCACUGUGCUGUGUGCGCUGGCCUGGGUGAGCAUCAUUCUUUCGGGGAGAACCUUUCUGAAAACAAAGCUGCAUUCCAAAAAGUUAAAAACCAUGCUACUUACUGUACUGAGGUAAAAAUUAAAAGACCUAGGGGACUCUUCCAAAAGUUAAAAUGUAAAUAAAUAUCUUGGAACAUUAAUAUACACCUGAUGAUGUCCUGAGUGAACACGCCCCACUUUAAAACAAAACAAAACAUUACUAUUAUUCUAAAAUAUUAAUUUAGGAUUGUUAUGCAAAUAUGUACUAUUUAAAUAUUUAUUGAAUGAAUAACAUGCAUACAGCAAUUAUAGGAACAAAAUAUUUAUGGAAUUGCUUGAUGAUAUUUAUUACUAAAAUAAAUACACUUGUGUAUGUAAGAAUCAGAUUUGCUCAUGCCCUUGACACUUUCCCCUUCCCAAAGGUAACCAAGACCUUAAGGCUAAGUGUAGAUAAACUUUGUCAUUUUCUACAAGUGUUUUUUACAGAACAUUAAAAAUUAUACACAAUACAAAAAAAAAGGAUAACAGACCAGUCACCCAGCUUUAACAGCUACUAGUUCAUGUGUCAUUUUGUUUCACCUAUACUUCAGCCAUUCCCACCCCAAUUUCAUUAUUUUUUAGGGCUUUUUGGAUAAAAUGUAUAUUCAUUGCAAGGUACAAUGUGAACUGUAAAUAGUAGAGAGAUGGGGUUUCACCAUGUUGACCAGGCUAGUCUUGAACUCCUGUCCUCAGGUGAUCCACCUGCUUCUGGCUACCCAAAUUUGCUGGGAUUACAGGCGUUAAGCCAAUAUACUCGGCCUCCUGAGAAUUUCAUAAUAUUUCUAACAAGUACAAAUCCAUAGGGCACAUGACAACUGCAAUGUCCAUUCUACAGUAAAUACAGUUUGAUGAAUAAUAAUGAAAGGCAAUUGACCUAAGGUGAAAAAAAAAAACAAAAAACAAUCAAAGCAUGGUACUUAUGUGUCAUCUGUAAGAGCAUUUGGUUUAAGAAUAACAAACAAACCAGUUUUAUCGUUUUAAUAAGCCGAAUUGGCAAAAUUUUUUAGUUUUUCUUUCAUAGGAAUGCUCUUUGCAAGAAAAAAUUUUCAUUAUAGUGAGAGCAAAAAUGGCAACCAUUUGCAAGUAAAUGUCUUAUGAAAUUAAGUAGCAGAUAUCAAGCUCAAUGAACUUCAGAUAGUUACCCCUAACUCAAUCAUUUACAUAGCAAGUGCAGAUAAUUUUCAUAGCUCCUAUUAAAUUUAUAUUUUGAAUUGCCCUUAACAAAUUGUGACUGUUUUAAAUAAUGUUGACCAACUAAAAUUUGUAUAUGACAUAUGAUAAAUUCCCCUUAAAGUCACCUUACAUUUACUUAAUUUAUUAGGCAGUGUCCUGUCUACCACCCAAUAAUUACUUGAGGAUUCUCCCUCCAUUUGCACAGGCAUUCAUACUUGGGGAAACAGGGAUUUCACAGACCCAGGCUUGUUCCCUACAUAAUGUUUCCUCCUCCGACAUCAGUUCAUCAGUCAAUCAAGUCAUGUGAGAGUGGAGGCCUUGUAUUCCCUAUUAUUCUUGGGCACUCUCCUCCAAGGAGGGAAAGGCCAGGAGGUCCUUUUAGAGGAUGCACUCUGAGAGCCCGGGCUCCCUAAGGUAUGAGAGUUCUAACCAGCAGGUUAGACUUUUCAGGAGUGAGGAAUGAGGCAGGCAUUCCAAACCGGUACCUUCAUUACCUUUUGUUUCAUCUCAAGACAAUUCUGAGGGGCUGUUUUGGAGCGUGUCUGGAAGGUGAACGUUGAAGAAGAGUGUGGGCUUUGAUAUGACUCAGUUGAGAUCUUUCAUGGGGAGGCAGGAAUUCAAUGCCCAGAAUCUGGGCUGGUGUCUUUGAGGUCAGUAGGUUGCAUCUUUUUAUCCAAGUCCGUUGUUACUAGGUUGGAGGCUGGAGAUUCUAAAUGGCUUCCAGACUGCCUCUCUGAUUCUCUUUGGGAGAUGUGGUCUGAAAGACAAUGUCAGUAUUUUUGGGAAAUUCUAGAAAGUCUGCUUGGAAACGUGGGAAGAGCUCUUGCCUAGUGCCUAAAUGCUCCAUUUGCAGCUCUAGCCAAGUAGAUACUUGGUAGGUAUAGAGCCGGGUUUGCAUUUAUAUCAGCAAAACCUAUGUCAGAGUUGAAGAAGUAGUCAGGAAAAAGUGUAUUGGUCACAGGCCGGGAACAUCUUAA
rnacentral:lncRNA from 1 species